rnacentral:rRNA from 1 species
AUGAACGCUGGCGGCGUGCCUAAUACAUGCAAGUCGAGCGAACGGACGAGAAGCUUGCUUCUCUGAUGUUAGCGGCGGACGGGUGAGUAACACGUGGAUAACCUACCUAUAAGACUGGGAUAACUUCGGGAAACCGGAGCUAAUACCGGAUAAUAUUUUGAACCGCAUGGUUCAAAAGUGAAAGACGGUCUUGCUGUCACUUAUAGAUGGAUCCGCGCUGCAUUAGCUAGUUGGUAAGGUAACGGCUUACCAAGGCAACGAUGCAUAGCCGACCUGAGAGGGUGAUCGGCCACACUGGAACUGAGACACGGUCCAGACUCCUACGGGAGGCAGCAGUAGGGAAUCUUCCGCAAUGGGCGAAAGCCUGACGGAGCAACGCCGCGUGAGUGAUGAAGGUCUUCGGAUCGUAAAACUCUGUUAUUAGGGAAGAACAUAUGUGUAAGUAGCUGUGCACAUCUUGACGGUACCUAAUCAGAAAGCCGCGGCUAACUACGUG